AAUUCCCGAACCGCUGGACUCCUGGACUGACCCGCAGGCCGGCCCCCCCUCCGCUGGCGGAUACCCUCCCUGCGCGCUCCUGGAGGCCCCUGCUGCCAACGCGCCUUACCACUAAGGGACCCUCACCCCAAGGCCCGAUCCCUGCAGCCCCUCUUGCGAACACUCCGAGAUCCCUCGACGCUCUGGGCGUAACUAGCAGUAACUAACCAACUGCCCCCUCCCCAGGAGCCCGGGCCGCGCACCCUCUGGAUUGCCUCUCCCCGAGACCCUAACCCCGCCACGCUCCUUCACCGCUGAACGUGGUCAGUCCGAGCGCAGUUACCUACCCAGACCGUUCCCUCCCCUAGCUCGGGCGGUGUCUGAGUGGACUGGGGGUUGGGAGGGCUCGGAGUACAGCAGCGGAACAGCGGGAGCCGGGAGGGGCAGAGAGGGGCAGGAACUACAGGGCUCUAGAGGGCACCUGGGCCUCGGACACGCGGCCGCUCAGGGCUGUGCUUGACCCAGUGGAGGUGGCCGGGCCGGUGGCUCCAGAGAGGGGGAGGGGGCAUCCCCUCCCCAGGCGUGGCCUUCGCAGGCCAACGGGCCCAAUUGCCUGGGGCGAGGCCAUGGAGACCCGGACUGGCGCCGGCGCCAGCUGGAGGGAGACGCCCCCGGGCAGGAGGUGGCAUUUUUUCCUCCGGGGGUCCCCGAGGUGGCCUCUGGUGAGGGGGAAGAGGUGGUCUGAGGUCUCAGUCUUCUAAGUCACCUGAAACUGCUUCCCACUCACUUCCAGCCCGGAGAUCGGCUCUAUGAGUCGAGUGGGCCGGGCGCACAAGUCUUGCUCCCUCCCAUUGUACAGACUGGGGAGACGAAGGCUCGAAGGGGGCCCCGGACCGAGGAGGGGUUCCAGGACAAAGGCAUUUGGGGGGACCUAGACAGGUGCCGAGUACUGAGGGGACUCAACAGCGUCCUCCAGCCCUCUUCCCUGUUGGUCCCGAGGCUCCCGGGGUAGAUGUCCAGAGGGCCCCUGGGUGGGUCGGGGGCAGGAGGAAGGCUAGGGUCCCGGCCACCCCCGGGAGAGUGGGGGAGGGGCGGCGGGAUUGACAGUCGGUAAUUGGGUAACUGGAGGCGGCUUCUCCGGCCGGGCGGCCCCGCCACCGCGACGCCGAGCCCCUGACGUCACCCGAUUCGCCAGGAAAUGAACUUUUUAAUAAUCCGAGGAGGGAGGAAAGCCCUCGGUCCCCUCAGCUCCGGGGGCGCCCGGCUGGGCCCAGCUCCGCGGGCGCGCCCCCGUCACCCCCUCCCAGGCCAGCUCAGGGCAGCGCCAAGGGGGCGCGGGCUCAGGCUGAGGCCUCCUCCUGCCUAGGCGUCUGGCGUCCGUUUGUCUGUCCAAGGCCGCAGCGCAGGUAAAGCGCGGGGCUGGGGGGCGCAGAGCUCCAUUGGGCUGGGAACCAGCGCGUCUCGUGCCCUUGGGGAACCCGCCUGCCCGAGCCGCCUGCUGAGCCUCCCGCUCCCCUCCACUCUGGAGCGCGCGGAGCCCAGUCUGCUCGGAACUCCACUCCGCGGGAGCGGAGGCCGGCGCCAGCCCGGGAAGGCGCGCCGGGGGCGGGAGGCCGAGCGCAAGGCCCUUGGCGCCGGACCUCGGCGGCCAGGCCGGGCAGCUUACGAUUCUUCAUCAAUGCGUAAAAUGAGAUCGCCGCGGAGUUCGAGCCUAUUUGGCGUCUCCGGAGACUAGCAAGACCCUCUGAAAGACACCGCAUCCCCAGGGAUAAUCCCCCGUGUCCGGCAAAGCUACCCUGCUCGAGCGCGAACCCUGGGACCCAGCGCGGAAGGCAGACCGGCAGCUGGCCGCUGGGCUGUGAACGCCAGGGCCGAGCGGAAGCUUCCCGCCCGGCCGCGAUCGGUGCCUCGGCUCUCAGGGAAGUGGCUACGCGAGGCCCUCGAGAAAGCAGUAACAAUGUUGGCAUGGCUGUUUUUGUUUCUGCUCAAUCCCAGCUUGGUCCUCACCAUCUCCUUCCACCUGCCCAUUAACUCCUGAAAGUGCCUCCGUGAGGAGAUCCACAAGGACCUGCUAGUGACGGGUGUGUACGAAAUCUCCAACCAGUCCAGGGGUGCUGGUAGCCUGCACAGCCACCUCAGGAUCACAGAUUCUGCUGGCCACAUUCUCUACUCCAAAGAGGAUGCAACCAAAGGGAAAUUCACCUUUACCCUGGAAGAUUAUGACAUGUUUGAAGUAUGAUUUGAGAGUAAAGAAACAGGGAGGAUACCUGAUCAAUUCAUAAUCCUAGACACGAAGCAUGGAGUAGAGGCAAAAAAAAAAAAAUUACAAGGAGAUUACAAAAGUCGAGAAGUUUAAGCCAUUAUAGGUGGAGCUGCAAUGCCUAGAAGACCUCUCAGAAUCUAUUGUUAAUGAUUUUGCUGCAUGAAGAAGAGAGAUGUGUAAUACCAAUGAAUCAACAAACACUUGAGCCCUGUACUUCAGUGUCUCUUUAAUGUUCUGCUUCAUUGGACUAGCAACCUGACAGGUUUUCUACCUGUGUUGCUUCUUCAAGGCUAAGAUGUUGAUUGAGUAAUGAAUGAAGUGCACUCUCCUCCCACCUUGUAUCUCAAGCAGUAGAACAUCACUGGGCGUCCUACCAACAGCACCAUCAAGAUGCAAUGGAGCCCUCUUGCCAGAACUGAUCUCUUGGUGUGGGAGGACAUGGUUACCACCUACCCAACAAGUCAGUGGAGAUUUCUUUUUAGCUGGUAGGAUUUGGACUGGUUUUGCAACAAUAGGUCUAGUAUUAGAGUCACCUAUGACAAAAAAUAAGGGUUACUGAGAUAAUGUAAAAGCCAGCAUUUGUACUGGGUUUCCUUGUGCGAUCUGUUUGAACCAAGUUUUCUUUUCUUCUACCGCCUUCUCGGCAGCUUGGGUUUCCACUCUAGUUCUUUCACCCAGAUUGGUAUGACCAUGCUGAACUUGUUUCCUUCCGCUUGUCCUCUUUGGGUUUCCUUAUGAAAACACCCUUAACUUCCUCUUUGCCUUUAGCUGAAAUGUUUACAUAGCUUCUGGUGAUAUCUUCUCAUACUUUUAUGUCUCUUAAAAGGUUGACGGAUGUGACACUUAAAAAGGUGAGCUUUGAAUUGAAGAUAACUCUUAAAGAAAAUAUCAUUUUAGACAAUUAAAAUAUUUGUGCUCCGAAAAGAUAUAAUUUACAUAUCACUUUUGCACUCUUUUUAUGGCUAAAUAAAAUUACAUGGCAUCAACAUUCCAUACUUUGCCCAUCCAUUCAUCCAUUGGUGGACAUUUGGGUUGUUUAUAGCCUUUAGCUCUUAGGAAUAAAGCUGCUUUGAACAUAAGAUUUCCUUUGAACAUUUGUUUUCAGUUCUCUUGGAUAUAUACCUAGGAGCAGAAGAUAGAUCAUUUGGUAGUUUUAUGUUUAACUUUUUGAGAAACUGUUUAUUUGUUUCCAAAAAUGGCUGCACCAUCUUACAUUCCCCAGAAGCAAUGCGAGAGGGUUCCAGUGCUUCAACAUUCUCGCCAUUGCUAUCAUUCAUCUUUAUUACAGCCACCCUAGCAGGUGUAAAGUGGUGUCUCACUGUGGCUUUGAUGUGCAUUUUCUGAUACACAUAAUUUUACUGAUGCUGAGCAUUAUUUCAUGUGUUUGUUGCCAUUUGUCUAUCUUCUUUGGAGAAACGCCCAUUCAAAUCUUUUGUCCAUUUAAAAAAUUGGAUUAUUUGUCUUCUUAUUGUUGAGUUUAAGGAAUCCUUUGUAUAUUCUAGACACUAGACCAUCAUCAAAGAUAUGACUUGCAAAUAUUUUCUCCCAUUCCGUGGCUUGUCUUUUCAUUUUAUUGAUAGUGUUUUUGAAACACAAAGUUUUAAAUGCUGACAAAGUACAGUUUAUCUAGCUUUCCUCCCCUUUGGUUGCUUGUGCUUUUGGUGUCAUAUCUACGAAUCCUUGCCUAGCUCAGAGAUUUGUGCCUAUGUUUUUUUCUAAGCAACAGUGACCCAAUCAAAGGCACAUUGCAAAAAAGACCCCUACCUGACUGUGGUGUGGCCAGUAAAUGGAGAGGGCAAAGGAGCAGGUAUGGGGAGGUCAGUGAGGACACUGUGGCAGUGGUCAGAGAAACAGACAGACAGAUGAUGGCAGCUUGGUCCAGGGUAGUGGCAGUAGGGAUGGAGAGAAUUGGGCAGAUUUCAGAAUUAUUAAGAAAGACAAAUCUCAGGAAUGAGAGUCUUCCAUCUCCACUGUCCACCCACCUUACUCUUCCUCAGUCUCCUAACACACUUUUUAAAAAAAGAAAAAACUACCGAGGUGUAUUUUACGUGUCAUAAAACUCACCUAUUUCAAGUAUAGGAUUCAACAAUUUGUGGUAACAAAUACAAUAUGUGGCCUUUUGUGACUGACUUCUCUCACUUAGUUUAAUGUUUUCAAGGUUCAUCAUGUUGGAGCAUGUAAACGGGCUUCAUUCCUUUUAUGACUGACUUCUUUCACUUAGUUUAAUGUUUUCAAGGUUCAUCAUGUUGGAGCAUGUAAACGGGCUUCAUUCCUUUUCAUAACUGCAUAACGUUCCAUUAUGCCACAUACUGUUUAUCUAUUCGUCAGUUGAUGAGCAUUUGGGUUGUUUCUACUCUUUGACUAUUAUUAAUAAUGCUGCUAAGAACAUUCAUGUACAAGUUUCU